CAACUUUCAGCGAACGGUGGAUCAUUCAGGGAGCAAAGUGUGGGUGCCCCACUCCAUUGCCAUUUAAUAUUAAAACGAAAAUGAGCUUUCUCAUCCAUUCGUGAUGACAUUCUCACCUCCAAAAAAAUGAGGUCCCAUGAGGAACUCUUGGAGGGAACAGCAACUCUUUGGAAGAAUUCAUAUCACUGAGCUUGGUCCUGCAAGGCAGGCCCUGCCACUGCUGACCGGGUCCAUUCUGAGCAACGAUGUAUUAGCAAAGCAGCGCCCACAUGGAUCCGCUGGGAUUUCUGCUCCAUUCCUACCCAUCCAGCUUUAUUUGCCUCCCUUAAUCCAGGGAAAACACUAACAUGAAACAACCUUCACUUCUUAUCUGAGAGCCAUAUUCCUUGAAAGCUUCCACUGCUGGGGCAGGGUGAUCUGCUCAAGCCAAGACAUAUACCGUCCACUUUUAGGCUCUGUCCUUCGUAUGGUGUCUGUGAUACUCCUAUACAAACCCAUUUCUUGUAAAAUAACAAAAAGCAGUGGGCAGAGUCAUGGGCAGGGUGCUAUUUUAGUUUCAGUAAAUGGUUUUUAUCAGAAGUAGGCCUUUCCUUUCUGCUUCUAUAGAUUGUAAAGAGGUUUCUGCCUCUCUAACUCUGAGAGUGGGUCUCAGAAACGUAUUUCACCCUUAUGCUACAAAAUAAACCUGCUGAACGGGAUUGCUGUUGGCUUGAGCGUAAGCAAGUGCUCUUCUUGUAAACUGGCACAAACACAAAUGUGCUUAUGGUUAUGGAUUUUAUACAGUUUUCAUAGCGUAAUUUUGGCAUUAGUCUCCAG
rnacentral:lncRNA from 1 species